rnacentral:rRNA from 1 species
AACGAACGCUGGCGGCAGGCUUAACACAUGCAAGUCGAGCGCCCCGCAAGGGGAGCGGCAGACGGGUGAGUAACGCGUGGGAAUCUACCCAUCUCUACGGAAUAACGCAUGGAAACGUGUGCUAAUACCGUAUACGUCCUUCGGGAGAAAGAUUUAUCGGAGAUGGAUGAGCCCGCGUUGGAUUAGCUAGUUGGUGGGGGUAAAGGCCUACCAAGGCGACGAUCCAUAGCUGGUCUGAGAGGAUGAUCAGCCACACUGGGACUGAGACACGGCCCAGACUCCUACGGGAGGCAGCAGUGGGGAAUAUUGGGCAAUGGGCGCAAGCCUGAUCCAGCCAUGCCGCGUGAGUGAUGAAGGCCCUAGGGUUGUAAAGCUCUUUCACCGGUGAAGAUAAUGACGGUAACCGGAGAAGAAGCCCCGGCUAACUUCGUGCCAGCCGCCGCCGUAAUAC